UGGGGAAUUUUGGACAAUGGGCGAAAGCCUGAUCCAGCAAUGCCGCGUGUGUGAAGAAGGCCUUCGGGUUGUAAAGCACUUUUGUCCGGAAAGAAAUCCUUGGCUCUAAUACAGUCGGGGGAUGACGGUACCGGAAGAAUAAGCACCGGCUAACUACGUGCCAGCAGCCGCGGUAAUACGUAGGGUGCAAGCGUUAAUCGGAAUUACUGGGCGUAAAGCGUGCGCAGGCGGUUUGCUAAGACCGAUGUGAAAUCCCCGGGCUCAACCUGGGAACUGCAUUGGUGACUGGCAGGCUAGAGUAUGGCAGAGGGGGGUAGAAUUCCACGUGUAGCAGUGAAAUGCGUAGAGAUGUGGAGGAAUACCGAUGGCGAAGGCAGCCCCCUGGGCCAAUACUGACGCUCAUGCACGAAAGCGUGGGGAGCAAACAGGAUUAGAUACCCUGGUAGUCCACGCCCUAAACGAUGUCAACUAGUUGUUGGGGAUUCAUUUCCUUAGUAACGUAGCUAACGCGUGAAGUUGACCGCCUGGGGAGUACGGUCGCAAGACUGAAACUCAAAUGAAUUGACGGGGUCAUAGCUG
rnacentral:rRNA from 1 species